ACGGCGGCCGUAACUAUAACGGUCCUAAGGUAGCGAAAUUCCUUGUCGGGUAAGUUCCGACCUGCACGAAUGGCGUAAUGAUGGCCAGGCUGUCUCCACCCGAGACUCAGUGAAAUUGAACUCGCUGUGAAGAUGCAGUGUACCCGCGGCAAGACGGAAAGACCCCGUGAACCUUUACUAUAGCUUGACACUGAACAUUGAGCCUUGAUGUGUAGGAUAGGUGGGAGGCUUUGAAGCGUGGACGCCAGUCUGCGUGGAGCCAACCUUGAAAUACCACCCUU
rnacentral:rRNA from 1 species